UCAGAGAAAUGAGCCGGAAUGCUCUGCGC
rnacentral:sRNA from 1 species